rnacentral:lncRNA from 1 species
UUCAACCACUGCCUAUAUAUAGUCUACCAACACAAUCUUGAAAAUUCAACUUAUCUUCAAAUAUUAAUCAAUCCUCAAUCCAGAAAUGGGAAAGGUCAGCAGCUUCACAGCCAUGGCCAUGAUCCUGGCAUUAGCCAAUUCAUUUUUGGGUAAUGCAGGAGACCCAGAUAUCCUCAAGGAUUUCUUAGUACCUUUAGGCUUCCCCACCAACAUAACCAGCGAUUUCUUCACCUACACUGGGUUCAGAGAAUUAGUAAACGUAAAUAUAACAGGAAAAACUGCAGCCAUUGUAACAAAAGCAUCCAUGAAAGAGUUCCCUGCCCUGGAAGGCCAAAGUGUUUCUGUUGCUGCCCUUAUAUAUCCUCCCUCAGGCAUCAACCCUCCUCAUGUUCAUCCAAGAUCAGCAGAGCUCCUGAUACUAUUAGAAGGAGUUCUUGAAGUUGGAUUUGUGGACUCCACAAACAAACUCUUCGUUCAAACUCUUCAAGUUCCUGACAUGUUUAUCUUCCCCAAGGGGCUGGUUCAUUUCCAGGUUAACACAAGGAGUGAUUCUCCCGCAUAUGCUCUUGGGAUGUUCGGAAGUGCAAAUGCAGGAACUGUGCCGUUGCCUAGCACUUUGUUUGCAAGUGGGAUUAGUGCAGAAAUUCUUGCUGAAGCCUUCAAAACUGAUGUGGAUACCAUAUCCAAGCUAAUUGCGGCUAACAAUGUCACAGAAGCAGCAUAAAGCUGUUGAGUCUUAUCGAUAAUAAAAGUAAAAAUAAUAAAUAACAUGAUGAUGAACAUGAUCAAGCCAAAAAACAAGAUUCUGAUGUCAAAUGACAUAGACAAUAACUUGUGUACUGUUGUUUGUUAUCCAUUUGGAAGUAAUUGAUGAAAUUAAUAUUUCUUGUUGAGGUUACGAGAAUUUUGUCGAAUCUCAUUUCAUAGGUCUCGAUCAAGUAAGGCAGUAGCUACAUUAAUUUAGCUUUACAUAGUUAUAUUAAAUUUAGUUUUUUCUUAAACAGAAAAGGUUGCAGCCGCUUAAAGCUCAUGUAAGUGUUUGUAAAAGAGAGGGAAAAUAAUUUUAUUUUUAUUUUUAAAAAAUUAAUUAUUGUUUUUUUAUAUUUUUAAAAAUUAUUUAAUAUUUAAAUGUGUUAUUUUAAUCAUUUAAUUAAAAAUUUUGAAUAUAUUAAAAAUAGAGUAUACGAGAUAUUAUAAAAUAAUAUAUAUUUAAUAAUUAUUUCCGUUGAAUGUAUUUAUUAAUAAUUCAUUUAAUACUUGUAAUAUUUAAAAAAAUAACAAUUUUAAAGAAUUCAAAUGCUGGUUGUAUGAUUUUUUUUUUUCUUCCUCCAUUUAUUUUUCUUCAUUUUUAUGAGUCAUCUUUUGUAAGAUUUUAUUUAAGACUAAGAAUAAAUUUUAAUUAUAUAGAAUUUAAAUAUUAAAAUAAUUCUUCAACUAAUUUCAAUUUAAAUAGGAUAUUAAUAUAAUUAAACCAAUAAAAAUUUAAAUUUUAAAUAAAAAUAAAAUAAAUUUAUAAUUAUUCAAUAUAUAUAGGUAAAGCCCUUGAAAUGGAAUUGAUUAAUAAUUUGAUUAAUCAAAUAGCAAUUGAUUAAUAAUUUGAUAUAUAGACAAAAAAAGAUUAUUUGUUAAAAAAUUAUUUGGUAGUUUAUUUUUACUUUUCCUAUUUGCAUAAUAUAUUUAUACAGACUCAUUUAUAUUUUAUUGAAUUAUCAUUUUGUGUAAAAUCAUCCACAUGGAAUAAUUAUCAUACUCCAAAUUUACUCCUUGACAUGGCUUAACACCUCUCUUCCUUUUCUCUCUGGGACUAGGUUGGUUGUCACAGCUCUACAUCUGCUUUCCCUACCCCUUUCGGUCUAGUGAACCUCAUUUUUCACUUUCCAACAGUGGAAUGGAUUCUAUUUCUUUAGUUUCUUUUAUUUUUUUUAGGCAGAUUUCCGCUUCUUAAUAAUAGGUUUCUUUAAUCUGCAUCUUGUUGUUGUGGUGGAAGUUGUCCUAUCACCAUAUGCAAGCCAACCGUUCUCUAAGUCUUUAUUUUUUAACUCUCAACUUCGAUCAAACCACAAUUUGUUCUAAACACUCCACAGUUUCAGCUAGUCCUUUGAGUUUCUUUAUUGACUUUCACUCAGCCUUCUGGAAAAAUUUCUAGAAAUAUAAAUCGAAAGUUGUGAUAUGUUAAUCUUUACAUGGGAAGUUCUCCUUCUCGAUUUGGCUUGGGAAAGAUCUCUGGUUGUGAUCACCCCUACCUAUUGCACUCUCUGGCUUUGUCUAUUUUGUGAGGUCAGAUUCUCUUCGACCUAGUUGUAUAGGGUUUGGAUAUGUUGUUUGUAUGCUGGGCUUUUCGUUUGUUAACUCCAUAUUUAUUUCGGGUUUCAUGUUUUAUAUCCUUGUUAGACCUUUUUUAAACUUGGGACUAAGCUGUAUCUUUAGUUUCCAUCAAUGAAAAUAUACCUUUGGAUGGAGGGGAAAAAAAACAUGGCUUAACAGUUUACAGAAUCUAAUGCCAAGCUGGCUAUAUGUAGAACACAAAAUAUAGAGCAUAUCGAUUACCUAUGAAGCAUCGACUGCCAACUAGUAUCUGGCAUUGCACUCUUUGUAAGUUUUCACUUUUCGGGCAGACUCAGAAAUGAGAUAGCGAUUGAAAAUGCUUUGAACUUUACCCAUCUUCAUCCACUGCCUAUAUAUAGUCUACCAACACAAUCUUGAAAAUUCAAGCUGUCUUCAAAUGCUAAUCAAUUCUCAAUCCAGAAAUGGGAAAGAUCUGCAGCUUCAUAGCCUUGGCCAUCAUCAUGGCAUUAGCGAAUUCAUUUUUGGGUAAUGCAGGAGACCCAGAUAUCCUCAAGGAUUUCUUAGUACCUUUAGGCCUUGAUCCCACCAACAUAACCAGCGAUUUCUUCACCUACACUGGGUUCAGAGAAUUAGUAAAUGUGAAUAUAACAGGAAAAACUGCAGCCAUUGUAACAAAAGCUUCUAUGAAAGAAUUCCCCGCUCUGGAAGGCCAAAGUGUUUCUGUUGCUGCACUUAUAUAUCCUCCCUCAGGCAUCAAUCCUCCUCAUGUUCAUCCAAGAUCAGCAGAGCUCCUGAUACUACUAGAAGGAGUUCUUGAAGUUGGUUUUGU